AUGACCCUGUUCUGUGAAGGGCUGAGUAAGGAGCCAAACUCCUGGCGGCCCCGUGUCCGCACAACUUUCAGCACAGAGCAGGUCCGCGCCUUGGAAGGCGACUUCUGGCACCACCAGUACCUGGGCCCUCUGGAGCGGAAGGGGCUGGCCAGGGAGAUGCAGCUCUCAAAGGUCCAGAUAAAAACCUGGUUUCAAAACUGCUGGAUGAAACACGAACGGCAAAUGCAGGACUCACAGCUCAACAGCCCCUUCUCGGGGUCGCUCCACGCGCCCCGGCUUUCCACUCACCGUCUUCCGGUCUUGCCAAGGGCCUGCAGCUGCUGUGCCCUUGGGCUACCCUGCCAGGGCCCCAGGCUCUGAUGAUGCCCCGUGGCUCCUGGGAGUCUCUGCCAAGUGGAAUAAGAGCCCCUGGCCUCUGCGUGGCCUUCCUGCUGCGGGCAGCCUCUGGUGUAACACCCCCCAAACCCAGGAAGUGGCGUGGAUACGCUGAGACCAGCCCUGUCCGCAGGGCCCUGGGGCCUGUGUGCUCUGCCAGAGACAGCGGCUGCAUUUUCAGCAAGCGCGUCUGACUCCAUGUCUCCCACACACGCGGCCUGUGCAGAUGGCACCUGGCACCUACCCGGAGGACUCAGCUGUUCUGCUUACGUCCUGGCGGCACCUUUCACCCUGACCCACGCAAAGGUUCUGGAGAUUUCUGGAUAAUGUA